AACGCACAUUGCGCCCCUUGGUAUUCCGAGGGGCAUGCCUGUUCGAGCGUCAUUACACCACUCAAGCACUGCUUGGUAUUGGGCAUCGUCCGUCGAAAGACGGGCGUGCCUCGAAGACCUCGGCGGGGUUUCUCCAACUUCGGGCGUAGUAGAGUUAAAUCAAAACGUCUUAUAAGCUUGUUGAGAUCUCAUUGCCGUAAAACCUUUUAUUUUUUCAGGUUGACCUCGGAUCAGGUAGGGAUACCCGCUGAACUUAA
rnacentral:misc_RNA from 1 species